AUACGUAGGGGGCGAGCGUUAUCCGGAUUUUAUUGGGUGUAAAGGGUGCGUAGGCGGUUUAUUAAGUCUAAAAUUAAAGCCUGGGGCUUAACCUCAGUUCGUUUUAGAAACUGGUAGGCUUGAGUAUGGUAGAGGUAAGUGGAAUUUCUAGUGUAGCGGUUAAAUGCGUAGAUAUUAGAAGGAACACCAGUGGCGAAGGCGGCUUACUGGGCCAUUACUGACGCUGAUGCACGAAAGCGUGGGGAGC
rnacentral:rRNA from 1 species